AUCUAUCCAUGAGCAGGUUGAAGUGAAAGUAAAAUUUCAUGGAGGACCGAACCGGGUAGCGUUUAAAAGCUAUCGGAUGACUUGUGGAUAGGGGUGAAAAGCCAAUCGAACUUGGAGAUAGCUGGUUCUCCUCGAAAUAGCUUUAGGGCUAGCCUCAAUUUAGUUUACAGGGGGUAGAGCACUGAAUACCGUAGGGGUGUUAGACAUUACCGAAAGUUAUCAAACUGCGAAUACCUGAUAAAUGAUGAUUGGGAGUCAGACUAUGUGGGAUAAGCUUCAUAGUCAAAAGGGAAAGAGCCCAGACCACCAGCUAAGGUCCCUAAAUAUAGAUUAAGUGGUAAAGGAUGUUUUACUACUUAGACAACCAGGAUGUUGGCUUAGAAGCAGCCAUACAUUUAAAGAGUGCGUAAUAGCUCACUGGUCAAGUGGUAGAGCGCCGAAAAUGAACGGGGCUAAAAUCUAAUACCGAAGCUGUGGACUAAUUUAAUUAGUGGUAGAGGAGCAUUGUGUAAGGGGCGAAGCUAAGUUGGAAGACGAAGUGGACUUUACAGAAG
rnacentral:rRNA from 1 species